AUUUUCUGCAAUCCCCUCCUAUACCUCAGAUGCAUGAGGGACACCUUUGCCACCAGCUGUCCUCAUUACACCGUGCGCGCGGCAGCAUAUCGGACUCUCCCGAUAUGCCCACUUUGGUAGCAUACCGGAUCAAAUUGUGUCCGUUAUCCACCGUUAUGUGGCAUAUCGCUGCAUAUCGGAAAAUCGAAUAUGCAAGCGCGCGCACAGUGUUAGAUGCCUUUUUUGGCUUUACGUAAUUGAUGGCCAUUUAGCUAAGAAGGCACGCGACGCAAUUAAUGGUUUUUGAAGCGAAAUAGCGGAGACCUAAAAUUGGGGAAGGAUGUCUGGAGCCAGGGUGGGCUCAUAUGUCGUAAUAGCAUGCACCGAAGCCAAUUGUUGAUCCAAAGAGGAGUCCGAGGGUUCGCUAGCAUCGGGAGGAGCGUGUUGCGAGAGAUAGUCAGCGAGAAUGUUGUAUUCCCCUUUGAUGUAUUCAAUACGGAGAUCAAAGACCUUGAGGGUACUGAGCCAGCGAAGUUGGCGAGGAGAGAGAUUGCGUUGACCAAGGAACCAUUGAAAUGUGAAGUGAUCGCAAUAAACGUGGACAGGAACGCCGUAGAGUAGAGGACGCCAGUGGUUGAGAGCGUUGAUAAUCGCAAGAAGCUCGCGGUCAUGUACCCGGUAAUUACGCUGGGCGCUAUUGAAGGUUCGAGAGUCGUAGGCGACCGGUUGUACAGAGUCCCGAGAGGUAUCGACACCGAUCCAUGCGCCAGUACCGGUAUUAGACGCAUCGGUGAAUCGGAAGACCCUUCUGUGUUCCCGCCUUGACAGCAUCGUAAUCAAUAACGGUAAGACAAGGAACACUACUCACCGCGCGUCGAACAACCUCAAAAAGCGGCUUGCUCGGCAGGCCCAAAAGACCAAGUCCAACCUGUCCAGCCAUCCGGAAGGUGACCCUUGUGCAUCUUCAUUGCCUCGUAGUAGGCCUUUUCUGCCGUGCUGCUUGGGGCGAGAGCCGCAUGGAGAACUGCGGUGUGAUUGGCGAGGUUAGGCACGAAGUCGCGGAGGUAGUUGACGAGGCCGAGAAACGAAUGGAGUUGGUGAGAGUUAGCCGGCAGGGGAAACUGCUCGACACGUGCAAUCUUGGCGAGGUCGGGGAGCAUCUGACCGGGGCGUAUAAUGUGUCCUAAGAAAGGAACUUCGUCGAGAAAUAGCUGGGAUUUCCUGCGAGAACAGCGGAGACCACUUCGACGGAGGACAUGGUAACUUAAAGAAGUCGGGACUCCUCCUGAGUCGUGUUUGUUGGCCUUAACUUUUACAUGUGUAUUAGUUUGCAGGUGUACAUAAACUGGUGAGCGAAACAGGUGAGGAGGGAAGCCUAGGCUCAACACAAGCCUCUCAACGCAUAUGGGCCGGUCUCCAACGAGGCACGAAAUGAAGUAGUAGGCUAUGCUGUUUUCCGGACCAGGAACAAAAAGGCUCCAACAACCAUUUUCCGGUCUCGUGACUAUGAUGAUGACUGGCAAAAUCGUUAUGGUACCUAUACAGUAUGGAAAUAUUAUCGAUAAUCUGCGUUAUAUGUCUUUGCAAGAUAUGUCUUUAUCUACAACCUCUUUGCACCUCGUUUAAUCUUGCUCACAGGCGCUGUCUUGGUUCCGCCGUUACAUGCGGCUCUGGAGUUUCCAAACGCCUUCAAGUCGUUCUUCCAUUCCUGCACAUGCUGCACCGGGCGAGAAAGAGUAGGGCCCUGUUCUUGCGAGUUGCUGUUGUUUAGCGGAAUAGGUCUGUGUAAUUUAACGUUCAUGGGACUUGGUGAUGUCCCGGUCGGCAUAUGCUCGUCUGAUGUUGAC
rnacentral:sRNA from 1 species